rnacentral:lncRNA from 1 species
CAGCUUCUCAAUGCCCAAGGAAUGCCAGAGUCAUCAAAGCACUCUCAUUUUUUUAAGUCUUCCAGCCUGUCACCCGAUAAACUAAAAGGCAGUUGAGGCUCGGAGGCACACUUUCUAAAUAAGAGGGUAGAUGGUAAAACAGGAGCCUCCCCUGACUGAAGACCUAAAGGCCCAGAACAGGAGACCAUUACCAAAGGAUGAGUCUCGGUUGUGCCCCUCUGGCACAGAUACCAACUGUGCAGCCCCUAGGAUAAGGACAACGUUUGCAUCCAGCAGCAUCUUACUGCCCACCAGCACCUCCUGAGAUGAGUCUGCAUGGUUAGGACCACGGAGACAGGGCCAUCCUCCCUGGAGUUCUCAGUGUUCCUGAAAAUUCUGGACCUUGAAUAUAGAUAUAAAAACCAAACAGAUGUCUUCUCCUAGUCCAUAGCUUGUCUUUUCCCAUUGUUUGUGUU